ACGAAGGUGGCAAGCGUUGUUCGGAUUCACUGGGCGUACAGGGUGUGUAGGCGGUUCGGUAAGCCCUCUGGGAAAGCUCCGGGCUUAACUCGGAACGGUCAGAUGAUACUGCUUUGCUAGAGUGCAGAAAGGGCAAUCGGAAUUCUUGGUGUAGCGGUGAAAUGCGUAGAUAUCAAGAGGAACACCUGAGGCGAAGGCGGGUUGCUAGGCUGACACUGACGCUGAGGCGCGAAAGCCAGGGGAGCAAACGGGA
rnacentral:rRNA from 1 species